GACUAUAAAGCGAGACUCUUUGCCUGAAACAUACCAACAAGCAGAAAAUAAACUACCCAAAAGACAUUUCUAUCAAGUCUACCUUCAUUUUAAGACCUAAAAAGUCCGCCACUUUCCCUUAAAAAAAAAAAAGAGUAGAUUUUUCUUAAUUUCCAUCUAGCUAGUUUGAUUACCAUUAAGAAUGGAAAAUUCUACCAUUAAGUUGUCAGUAGAACUUCCGAUUCAGAUACUAAUGCAAUUCACUCGAUUUGAAAUUUAUCAUUUAUGGAUAAAGCGACUUAAACUUCAAAUUAGCAAAUUUAACUUUCAAAGAAGUACAAUUCUCUUUAGAUUUAGUAUAAAAUUUUUCAUGUACGAUCAAUUCCAAUGUUUAAAGAAAACAUCCAUAUUUAUACCAGGGAAGUUAAGAAGAUCUGGA
rnacentral:misc_RNA from 1 species